rnacentral:hammerhead_ribozyme from 1 species
AUCCAGCUGACGAGUCCCAAACAGGACGAAGUGUCGAGCAU